ACGGCAGCACGUUGGUAGCAAUACCAUGGGUGGCGAGUGGCGGACGGGUGAGGAAUGCAUCGGAAUCUGCCCAGUUGUGGGGGAUAACUGGCCGAAAGGCCAGCUAAUACCGCAUACGACCGAGAGGUGAAAGCGGGGGACCGUAAGGCCUCGCGCGAUUGGAUGAGCCGAUGCCGGAUUAGCUUGUUGGUGGGGUAAAGGCCUACCAAGGCGACGAUCCGUAGCUGGUCUGAGAGGAUGAUCAGCCACACUGGAACUGAGACACGGUCCAGACUCCUACGGGAGGCAGCAGUGGGGAAUAUUGGACAAUGGGCGCAAGCCUGAUCCAGCAAUGCCGCGUGUGUGAAGAAGGCCUUCGGGUUGUAAAGCACUUUUGUCCGGAACGAAAAGCGAUGGGAUAACACCCUGUCGUGCUGACGGUACCGGGUGAAUAAGCACCGGCUAACUUCGUGCCAGCAGCCGCGGUAAUACGAAGGGUGCAAGCGUUAAUCGGAAUUACUGGGCGUAAAGGGUGCGUAGACGGUUCAUUAAGUCGGAUGUGAAAGCCCCGGGCUCAACCUGGGAAUGGCAUCCGAUACUGGUGGACUCGAGUGCGGUAGAGGAUGGCGGAAUUCCCGGUGUAGCGGUGAAAUGCGUAAGAUCGGGAGGAACAUCCGUGGCGAAGGCGGCCAUCUGGACCAGCACUGACGUUGAGGCACGAAAGCGUGGGGAGCAACCAGGAUUACAUACCCUGGUAGUCCACGCCCUAAACGAUGUCGACUGGAAUGUUGGGCACACCUU
rnacentral:rRNA from 1 species